rnacentral:lncRNA from 1 species
GAUAUGAAUGUUGGCAAUUCUUUGGAGGUGUUGUAGUUUGGUGGGGUUUUUUUUUUUGCAAGGGAGAACAAUGUAAUACAGGACACAUUUUAUAAGAUUAUUUAUAAUAGUCACUUAAAGAAUGAUAUAUAAGAGAGUGCAGGAAAUCUGUCCACACACAAAGGACCAAAGAAUCCAGCUGUGGGCCUGGAUCCCACAAUAAUGUCCUGCAUGAAUCCAGCUGAAGACCUAGAGCUCAUAACAGUGCCUCCUACAAGUCCAGCUAGAAGCCCAGAUCCCAUAACAAUAUCUCAUGCAGGCCUGUUUCACAGGUCUGUGCUGAGAAGGCCCAAAGGUCAGUGGUGGAAUCUAGGAAGUCUGCGCCAUCGGGAUGAAGGAUCUGUGCUAGCAGGCUGAGGGAUCUGCAUGGAGCCAGGAAGCAACACUCAAAGUAAGAACCAGAGCUCCCCUGAAAAGUACCACAACCAUCCUCAGCAACAGUGAGGUCCUGAAUUCCUCUGAUCAUCAGAAAAGCCAAUGUGACAAGCUUCUGCAGGAGACUGAUCUGUGCACCUUCUUCCCCUCCGGAGAAAGGAAGCGAUGCUCAGAGUGAGGACCAGAGCUCCUCCAAAGUGAACCGAAGCCAUUCUCAGUGACAACAAGGUCCUGAGCUCUUUGGAGGAUGAAAACAGCCAAGUUCAUCAGGAAAGCCAGCAUAACGAGCUCCUCCAAGAAUAUCAGCAGCUCCUUACAGCUUCCCUCUGCUUCCAACAGGCUCCCAACAGCUUCUACCAGCUCCCAACAGCCUUUUUCAGCUCUCAACAGCUUCUUCUCCAGGUCUGCCUCUUAUGCUGCUGGCAACAGUCCUCAGAUGAAAGACUGUAGGGAGCGGCGAAGCUGGAGAUGGAUCCCUGCAACACCGGAGCGAGGCCAGUCUCAACACAGUGCGCCUGAGACAAGCCACGUGGAUCUGCUGUUAGGUGGAGAGGCUUCCCCUGAUGUUCAACCUCCAAGUAUAUAAAUAAAUGCACUGUGGCCACUGGCCCUCUCUCCUCCUCUUCCUCCUUCUUUCUUCCUUCCUUCCCAUCCACCAGGAGAGGGCUCCACACGGCCUCAGGUUUCUGUAUUCUUUUUUUUUUCUUUCCGGUACCAGGAAUCAAACUCACGACCUUGCGCUUGCUGGGCAGGUGCUGUGCUGCUGAGCUAAAUCCCCAGCCCCAGGUUUCUGUAUUCUGACUC